rnacentral:rRNA from 1 species
UGGGGGAUCUUGCGCUAAUGCGCGAAAGCGUGACGCAGCGACGCCGCGUGGGGGAUGAAGGCCCUCGGGUUGUAAACCCCUUUCGGCAGGGACGAAGGGAAACUGACGGUACCUGCAGAAGAAGUCCCGGCUAACUACGUGCCAGCAGCCGCGGUAACACGUAGGGGACGAGCGUUGUCCGGAUUCAUUGGGCGUAAAGCGCGCGUAGGCGGCUCGGAAAGUCGGGCGUGAAAUGCCGGGGCUCAACCCCGGACUGCGUCCGAUACUUCCGAGCUGGAGGUAGGUAGGGGAGAUCGGAAUUCCUGGUGUAGCGGUGAAAAUGCGCAGAUAUCAGGAGGAACACCGGUGGCGAAGGCGGAUCUCUGGGCCUUUACCUUGACGCUGAGGCGCGAAAGCUAGGGGAGCGAACA